UACGUAGGGGGCAAGCGUUGUCCGGAUUUAUUGGGCGUAAAGAGCGUGUAGGCGGCCAGACAGGUCCGUUGUGAAAACUCGAGGCUCAACCUCGAGAUGUCGAUGGAAACCGUCUGGCUAGAGUCCGGAAGAGGAGUGUGGAAUUCCUGGUGUAGCGGUGAAAUGCGCAGAUAUCAGGAAGAACACCUAUGUCGAAGGCAGCACUCUGGGACGGUACUGACGCUGAGACGCGACAGCGUGGGGAGCAAACAGG
rnacentral:rRNA from 1 species